CCUACGGGUGGCAGCAGUGGGGAAUAUUGGGCAAUGGACGCAAGUCUGACCCAGCAACGCCGCGUGAAGGAAGAAGGCUUUCGGGUUGUAAACUUCUUUUAAGGGGGAAGAGCAGAAGACGGUACCCCUUGAAUAAGCCACGGCUAACUACGUGCCAGCAGCCGCGGUAAUACGUAGGUGGCAAGCGUUGUCCGGAUUUACUGGGUGUAAAGGGCGUGCAGCCGGAGAGACAAGUCAGCGGUCAAAUCGUGGGGCUCAACCCCAUCCAGCCGUUGAAACUGGGGAUCUAGAGUGUGCGAGAGGUAUGCGGAAUGCGUGGUGUAGCGGUGAAAUGCAUAGAUAUCACACAGAACACCGAUUGCGAAGGCAUCUCACGAAUCCGCGAUUGACGCUGAUGCACGAAAGCGUGGGUAUCAAACAGGAUUAGAUACCCGGGUAGUC
rnacentral:rRNA from 1 species